AGCAGCCGCGGUAAUUCCAGCUCCAAUAGCGUAUAUUAAAGUUGUUGCAGUUAAAAAGCUCGUAGUUGAAUUUCGGGGUUAGUAGAUUGGUCAUGCCUUUGGUAUGUACUGAUCUUACUGAUUCCUCCUUCCUGAUGAACCGUAAUGCCAUUAAUUUGGUGUUGCGGGGAGACUGGACUGUUACUUUGAAAAAAUUAGAGUGUUUAAAGCAAGCUAACGCUUGAAUACAUUAGCAUGGAAUAAUGAAAUAGGACGUUCGAUCUUAUUUUGUUGGUUUCUUAGGAUUGACGUAAUGAUUAAUAGGGAUAGUUGGGGGCAUUAGUAUUCAAUUGUCAGAGGUGAAAUUCUUGGAUUUAUUGAAGACUAACUACUGCGAAAGCAUUUGCCAAGGAUGUU
rnacentral:rRNA from 1 species